AAUUAGUCUUUUACAUCUUUAAAUGCACACUAAUACACUGCAACACUCUUGUCUCCUUAUGACACCUAACCAUUUCCUCCUCUGGACUGGCUUUUCUUUCCUUGCUGCUGUUAAAAAGAGAAUACAAGCUACAAGAAAAUGAUAAACAGGAAGCCUUAAAAGGCCAGACCAUUUACAAAACAACACGUAGGCACACAUAUCCAUAAUGCAUGAAGAGCUUGGCCUGCUCUCCAGAUGUACACAGAUCUGUAAAAUUUCCUAGAGCUUUUCUGUUGACAAUACAAUAUAGAAAACACUAUUAUUUGGCUA